GGUCAAGUUAUUAAGGGUGCAGGGCGGAUGCCUUGGCACUAGGAGCCGAUGAAGGACGUGAUAAGCUGCGAUAAGCUUCGGGGAGUUGCACGUAAACUUUGAUCCGAAGAUUUCCGAAUGAGGAAACUCACUUAGAGUAAUGUCUAAGUAUCAUUAAGUGAAUACAUAGCUUAAUGAGGGGAACUCAGGGAACUGAAACAUCUAAGUACCUGAAGGAAGAGAAAGAAAUUCGAUUCCGUAAGUAGCGGCGAGCGAACGCGGAUUAGCCCAAACCAAUAAAGUUUUCUUUAUUGGGGUUGCGGACAUAUCAUAACGAAGAGGUAUCGUAAUUGAAGAGGUUUGGAAAGACCCACCACAGAAGGUAAUAGUCCUGUAUGUUAAACGAGAAGACUUCAGAUAUGAUCCAGAGUACCACGGGACACGUGAAACCCUGUGGGAAGCAGGAGGGACCACCCUCCAAGGCUAAAUACUACCUAGUGACCGAUAGCGUAUAGUACCGUGAGGGAAAGGUGAAAAGAACCCCGGGAGGGGAGUGAAAUAGAACCUGAAACCCUGCACUUACAAGCUGUGGAAGCACAUUUCUUGUGUGACC
rnacentral:rRNA from 1 species